UACGGGGGGAGCAAGCGUUGUUCGGAUUUACUGGGCGUAAAGGGCGCGUAGGCGGUCGUGACAAGUCACUUGUGAAAUCUCCGGGCUUAACCCGGAGCGGCCAAGUGAUACUGUCGUGCUAGAGUGCGGAAGGGGCUACUGGAAUUCUCGGUGUAGCGGUGAAAUGCGUAGAUAUCGAGAGGAACACCUGCGGCGAAGGCGGGUAGCUGGGCCGACACUGACGCUGAGGCGCGAAAGCCAGGGGAGCGAACAGG
rnacentral:rRNA from 1 species